AAAGUUCUACGAAGAAAGUUUAGCCUACUACUUCGGCCUCCGGCGGAGGUGCGAUGAAGGUAACGACGUCGUGCUGAGCGUCCGUGCAGGAGGGAAACGCAGGCCAGCCAUUGAGCUCCGAAAUCAAUUUAGUCCCGUGUGUCGACCCGGUCUUGCCCAGGGGAAGACAACACUUGAUGCGCCGUCAUUAGGCAAGGCGUAUCGAGGCACGGCGGAGUCUGAGAACC
rnacentral:ncRNA from 1 species